GUGACUGAUAGGUUUAACUAAUAUGGUAAUUAUAGAUGGGAGCUUAAAUUAACUUUGAUUUUAAGCACAGCUAGUAUCCUUUGGUUCUUCUAAAUUCACUUAGUAUCACCAUCAUUAAGAUUUUCUUUUAAGCACGUUAAGACACCAUGUUCCUUUUCUAGGCUCUUAUUGCGGAGACAGUUGGAAGUUACGACACUAUGGAUCUCUUCGGGCACACUACAGAACUCAGCAUACCGAGGGAGCAAUAGGUUAUGCAUAUUGGGUCUGCACAACAUUGCAAGAUAAAAGCAACAGAGACACGGAGCUGUACCGGUACAACAUCCUCCAGAUGAACGCUGUCCCAGCGGCGCAGGUUGUUCUGUGUAAAUACGUGGGUAAGGAACCUUUUACACAAUGGCAAGAUUUUUGAAUAGCUAAUGAAAUUACUUUAAAAAAUUUCAAACUAAUUCAUUCCAAAUUAAAAUUGAUGUUCUAUAAGAUAUGACUUUAGCCUGGAACACUUGUGGAGGAGAAAGUAGUUUACAAGCAUAGAAUUUUGAGAUAUUUCCAUUUUAUGCCAACGUGCAUAAUAUUAAUAAAUACACAGAGCUGAGGAAAUGUUUUUCUUAGCAAAUGAAUAACUUUUGUAAAGGAUUAACAUAAAGAGGUAAAUCUUUAGUUUUCAGCAAAAUUUAGAUACCUAAAAAAACCCACAUCAUUUACAUAAAUAUGCAUAGCUGGGUUUUUAUACUAUAUCAUCGAUUCAUGUCAUACAUUCAGUUAAAAAAUUCAACUCUUUGUGGUUGCCUGGCAAAAUAUACACAGGAAAAGUAGAAGCAGAAAAGAGGGAGGGCG
rnacentral:lncRNA from 1 species